rnacentral:rRNA from 1 species
UACGUAGGGGGCAAGCGUUGUCCGGAAUCAUUGGGCGUAAAGAGCGCGUAGGCGGUCCGGUAAGUCCGCUCUGAAAGUCCGGGGCUCAACCCCGGGAGGCGGGCGGAUACUGUCGUGCUAGAGUCCGGAAGAGGCGAGUGGAAUUCCUGGUGUAGCGGUGAAAUGCGCAGAUAUCAGGAGGAACACCAAUGGCGAAGGCAGCACUCUGGGACGUGACUGACGCUGAGACGCGAAAGCGUGGGGAGCGAACAGG